AUUGAACGCUGGCGGCAGGCCUAACACAUGCAAGUCGAGCGGAUGAAGGGAGCUUGCUCCUGCAUUCAGCGGCGGACGGGUGAGUAAUGCCUAGGAAUCUGCCUGGUAGUGGGGGAUAACGUCCGGAAACGGGCGCUAAUACCGCAUACGUCCUGAGGGAGAAAGUGGGGGAUCUUCGGACCUCACGCUAUCAGAUGAGCCUAGGUCGGAUUAGCUAGUUGGUGGGGUAAAGGCCUACCAAGGCGACGAUCCGUAACUGGUCUGAGAGGAUGAUCAGUCACACUGGAACUGAGACACGGUCCAGACUCCUACGGGAGGCAGCAGUGGGGAAUAUUGGACAAUGGGCGAAAGCCUGAUCCAGCCAUGCCGCGUGUGUGAAGAAGGUCUUCGGAUUGUAAAGCGCUUUUAUUUGGGAGGAAGGGCAGUAAGUUAAUACCUUGCUGUUUUGACGUUACCAGCAGAAUAAGCACCGGCUAACUUCGUG
rnacentral:rRNA from 1 species